CCUACGGGAGGCAGCAGUGGGGAAUAUUGGACAAUGGGGGGAACCCUGAUCCAGCGACGCCGCGUGAGUGAAGACGUAUUUCGGUAUGGAAAGCUCUAUCAGCAGGGAAGAAAGAAAUGACGGUACCUGACUAAGAAGCCCCGGCUAACUACGUGCCAGCAGCCGCUGUAAUACGUAGGUGGCAAGCGUUAUCCGGAUUUACUGGGUGUAAAGGGAGCGUAGACGGCGAUGUAAGUGUGAAGUGAAAGGCGGGGGCCCAACCCCCGGAUUGGGUUGGAUACUGGAUGGCUGGAGUGCAGGUGAGGUAAGUGGAAUGCCUGGUGGAGCGGUGAAA
rnacentral:rRNA from 1 species